GGACGGGUGAGUAAUGCAUAGGAAUCUGCCCGGUAGUGGGGGAUAACCUGGGGAAACCCAGGCUAAUACCGCAUACGUCCUACGGGAGAAAGGGGGCUCCGGCUCCCGCUAUUGGAUGAGCCUAUGUCGGAUUAGCUAGUUGGUGAGGUAAUGGCUCACCAGGGCAACGAUCCGUAGCUGGUCUGAGAGGAUGGUCAGCCACAUCGGGACUGAGACACGGCCCGAACUCCUACGGGAGGCAGCAGUGGGGAAUAUUGGACAAUGGGGGCAACCCUGAUCCAGCCAUGCCGCGUGUGUGAAGAAGGCCCUCGGGUUGUAAAGCACUUUCAGCGAGGAAGAACGCCUGGCGGUUAAUACCCGCCAGGAAAGACAUCACUCGCAGAAGAAGCACCGGCUAACUCCGUGCCAGCAGCCGCGGUAAUACGGAGGGUGCAAGCGUUAAUCGGAAUUACUGGGCGUAAAGCGCGCGUAGGUGGCUUGAUAAGCCGGUUGUGAAAGCCCCGGGCUCAACCUGGGAACGGCAUCCGGAACUGUCAGGCUAGAGUGCAGGAGAGGAAGGUAGAAUUCCCGGUGUAGCGGUGAAAUGCGUAGAGAUCGGGAGGAAUACCAGUGGCGAAGGCGGCCUUCUGGACUGACACUGACACUGAGGUG
rnacentral:rRNA from 1 species